rnacentral:misc_RNA from 1 species
GAUGAAGAACGUAGCGAAAUGCGAUAACUAAUGUGAAUUGCAGAAUUCAGUGAAUCAUCGAGUCUUUGAACGCACAUUGCACCCCCUGGUAUUCCGGGGGGCAUGCCUGUCCGAGCGUCAUUGCUGCCCUCAAGCACGGCUUGUGUGUUGGGCUCCGUCCCCCCGGGGACGGGUCCGAAAGGCAGCGGCGGCACCGAGUCCGGUCCUCGAGCGUAUGGGGCUUUGUCACCCGCUCUGUAGGCCCGGCCGGCGCCAGCCGACAACCAAUCAUCCUUUUUUCAGGUUGACCUCGGAUCAGGUAGGGAUACCCGCUGAACUUAAGCAUAUCAAUAAGCGGAGGA